AUUGAACGCUGGCGGCAUGCCUUACACAUGCAAGUCGAACGGUAACAGGUUAAGCUGACGAGUGGCGAACGGGUGAGUAAUAUAUCGGAACGUGCCCAGUCCUGGGGGAUAACGUAGCGAAAGCUACGCUAAUACCGCAUACGAUCUACGCAAGAAAACGAGGGCACGCAAGACCGCGCGCGAUUGGUUCGGCCGGUAUCAGAUUAGGUUGUUGGUGAGGUAAAAGCUCACCAAGCCUGCGAUCUGUAGCUGGUCUGAGAGGACGACCAGCCCCACUGGAACUGAGACACGGUCCAGACUCCUACGGGAGGCAGCAGUGGGGAAUUUUGGACAAUGGACGCAAGUCUGAUCCAGCAAUGCCGCGUGCAGGACGAAGGCCUUCGGGUUGUAAACUGCUUUUGUACGGAACGAAACGGUGAGCUCUAAUACAGUUUGCUAAUGACGGUACCGUAAGAAUAAGCACCGGCUAACUACGUGCCAGCCGCCGCAGUAA
rnacentral:rRNA from 1 species